GGACCAGCUGACACCCAAAGGUGAUAUCUCUCACCUCCGACCACCAAUAGAAGGAAGACCAGUCCCAUUAGAACCACCAUACUUCCCUCUUCCAGUCCCAGCCCAUCUCAGCCUUGAUCCGCCGUCGUGGUCUCCAGAAACCGCCACGAAACAGGGCGGUUUGGACAGUUUUUGACGGAAUUUCGUGGUGCUCGUUCUCCC
rnacentral:lncRNA from 1 species